UUUAAGGUCUAAUCUGCCCUAUGAGGAGUUAAAUGGCCGCGGUAUUUUGACCGUGCAAAGGUAGCAUAAUAAUUAGUUUUUUAAUUGGAAGCUGGAAUGAAUGAUUGGACGAGAAAAUUUCUGUCUCAAUUUAAUUUAAUUAGAAUUUUAUUUUUAAGUAAAAAAGCUUAAAUUUUUUUAAAAGACGAGAAGACCCUAUAGAGUUUUAUAUAUGAAUUUAUAUUUAAAUUUUUAGAAUUUUAUUUUUGUUAUAAAUUAAUAUAUUUUGUUGGGGUGAUGGAAAAAUUAAAUUAACUUUUUUUAUAUUUUUACAUUAAUUUAUGAGUAGAUGAUCCAUUUUUAAUGAUUAUAAGUUAAAAUUACCUUAGGGAUAACAGCGUAAUUUUUUUUUAGAGUUCUUAUCGAAAAAAUAGAUUGCGACCUCGAUGUUGGAUUAAAAUAAAUGUUUGGUGUAGGGGCUAAAUAAUUAGGUCUGUUCGACCUUUAAAAUUUUACA
rnacentral:rRNA from 1 species